GGUGAGUAACACGUGGAUAACCUACCUAUAGGACUGGGAUAACUUCGGGAAACCGGAGCUAAUACCGGAUAAUAUUUUGAACCGCAUGGUUCAAAAGUGAAAGACGGUCUUGCUGUCACUUAUAGAUGGAUCCGCGCUGCAUUAGCUAGUUGGUAAGGUAACGGCUUACCAAGGCAACGAUGCAUAGCCGACCUGAGAGGGUGAUCGGCCACACUGGAACUGAGACACGGUCCAG
rnacentral:rRNA from 1 species